ACUAAAUAGAUACCCGGGUAGUCCAUGCCGUAAACUAUGGAUACUAGCUGUUGGGGGUAUCGACCCCUCCAGUAGCGAAAGCUAAACGCGUUAAGUAUCCCGCCUGUGGAGUACGAUCGCAAGAUUAAAACAUAAAGGAAUUGACAGGGACCCGCACAAGCGGUGGAGCGUGUUCUUUAAAUUCGAUGCUAAACGAAGAACCUUACCAGGGCUUGACAUCCCUUGAAUUACUCCGAAAGGAGUGAGUGCUUUAUUGAGCAAGGUGACAGGUGGUGCAUGGCCGUCGUCAGCUCGUGUCGUGAGAUGUUUGGUUAAGUCCCAUCAACGAGCGCAACCCUUAUACUUAGUUGUAUUUUUCAGG
rnacentral:rRNA from 1 species